AGAGAGGGAGAGGGAGAGAGACUAUAGAAAAGAGGAAGAUCCACAACCAGGUCCUGAGAGAAGUGAACUUGGGUGGAGAAUGAAGGUUGGAAAAGAGUUUCAACAAGAGCAUCAAGUGAUGUAGAGGAAAACCGAAAAAACAGCAGCAACUCAGAACAUAAAAGGGGAGAGAAUUUCAAGAUGGGGGAGUAGGCAAGCGGAAUGCAGGAAGCCGGAAUAAGGAGAGUAAUGCUCGCUGGUUUCCCCUUCAGCCCAGCCUGAGGUUAUUUCCCAAGUCCACAUUUAAUCAUCCAAAGCAGUAGAAAUAACCUCAACAGGGUAAGCACAUUAGAACACAAUAUUCUAACAUUAAUGAAUUUCCCAAGGGGUAUUUUAUUUGUUCUUAAAUAAUACAGUGUGCAGGACACCCACAUCCUAGUACAGCCUGAACUACAAAGAGCCGUGUUCACAAUUCUCCUUUUAUCCUUAAGUUAGGCUCACUCCUGAAUGUCUGUCUUUCUUCAAGAGAAACGAAAGUUUCUGGAACAGGGUACCCUAGAUCUAUGUAGAGAAAAGGCAUAUUCCUGCCACACAUUCUCUAGAAAGACAGGGAGGAUGACAACAAAAGAAGAAAAAAAAUCACCAAAAGCUUUGGCUCAACCAUAGGUAAAAAUUUACAAUUAGGGAAGGCUUUUGUUCUUAUUCUAAAACAUAACAUCACUGUCACUCCACAGCUCUGGCUCUGAAUAAUGGAGGGUGUUUGCUUUGCAUUUGGGUAAUUAAAGAGCCCACUCAGCUGCUUAUCCCAAACAUGGGAAUAAUCUGACCCAAAGGUGACUGAAUUCAGGUCUGUAAUUCUUUUGCUGAGUUUCAAAAUGGCAGUUUUUGUACCUUUAAGCUAAGUUACUUUCACAAGGCUUAGGAUAAGGCCCUGAGUGCAUUAUGUGACCAGUUGCUAUUCGUUGCAUGAAUAGGUGAACAAGGAGGCAAAGGGACGAAGUGGAAAAAACAGUUCAAUUAGAAGAUCGGAUUCUGGGAGGGUCAUUUCUGCUCUCUGAACCCUAACAUUCGAAAAUGUACCAUCUUAAAAUCCAAAAGUUUUAAAGCGAUAGGUUGAAAAAGGACAAUUCAACAGGCAAAAAUAAUUAAAACAGGUUCCAUUAAUUUCUCACAUCUCACAAACGAAGUUAAAGGAGAGAGGAAUAAACUGCCCAUAGAACACAUUGAACUUCUCUCCCCUUACACCGCACUGCUGCUCUAUGUCUCUCUCUCUCUAACACCCUCCCAACCGUAGCUGAUGAGACUUUAUUAUACUCCAACUUGCCUACCCUAGCAUUUCAACCUGUGCCCCUUUCCAGAAAGGAUUCUACAUCUUUGGGAGAAAAGAAAAAGUAGAAUUUGGACUUGCACUGAGAGGAUUAUCUUUGGUGGUCCGGAAGAGCAGGUAACUCCUAGACAAUUCUCACAUGAAUCGUUUUUGCCUGUUUAAAUGGGAAAAAUAAGAACCUGAUCUCUAGGACUGCUAGGAGGAUUAUGUAAGUUUGUGUACUUGCAAACUCCACAGACGCAUGAUGGCAUUAUAAUCUUUGCUGCACAAGCAUUAUUUACUGUCCUAAGUAUGAUUUUUAAAAAUCUCCUUCUCACAAAAGAUAGGUUUCAUCUUCAUAGUAAACCUGCUUCCCUUUCGGAGCGUAAGAUCCCAAACAAAAAGGAAAGUGAAGCCAUUACAAAAAGGAGCCAAUACAAGAAGGAUCUAGAAGUAACUUUAGAUGCACUGUCAGGAAGUUUAUUAGUGACAGGCAUGCACAUAGCACAGUGUAAUGAAAAUCUGUGCUUAUACCACCCACUUAAAAAUAAUUGUAGUUAGCACAGGAACUUGUUGCAUAUAACCAGCACCUUUGACAAGCUAUUGAUUUUUAAAAGUCAGAUUCAGGCAUUUUUUCUGAAGUAGAACUUCAGGGAUAAAAUCUGAAAAUGUUAUUCUUUUAAUUCAAAAAGGGAGUUGGUGUGUGUGUGAGCUUAUCACUGGUUUCAUGAAUAUUGCUAAUUCCUAUAAUCGACUAGAAAAUCUGACUGUGUAUUAAUUAUCUAUUGUUGCACGACAGAUUAACACUCACUUAAAACAACAGACCUUUUUUAGUGUGUGGUUUUUGUGGGUCAGGUACACGGGAGAGGUUCGGCUGAGUGGUUCUUGGUUGGAGUGUCUUAUGAGGGUGCUGUCAGGCUAUCAGCAGGGGUUUUGAUCAUCUGAAGGCUUAACUGGGGCUGAAGAGCCUGCCCCCAAGAUGAGUCACUCUUAAAUAGUGGUUAGCGGGAAGCCCCAACCCAUGCUGGCUAUUGGUCUCGGUGUUUUCACAAUGUGUACCUCUCCACAGGAUUGCGUGAGCAUCUUCGCAACAUGGCAGCUGGCUUCUCCUAGUGGGACUGAUCUAAGAAAGAGCAAGGAAGAAGCCUCAGUGCCUUUUAUGUCUUAAUCAUGAGGUCAAAUACCAUCCAUUCUUCUACCUUCUGUUUGCUAGAAACAAGUUACUAAGUACAGCCCACACUUAGAGAAAGAAGAAUUAGACUAUUUUUUGAAAGGAACUCCUCCAAUGUGGAAAGUUUCUAAUGUAAUCACAUGUUAAAUGAGGAGUUUGUACUGACUGCGGCAACAAGAAGUCAGAGAGGUCAGACAGCAAAGUGAGGUGAGAGACAGGACACCAAAUUGGAAAUUUUGAGAGAAACUCUCUUGAAAAUUAUUGCACAGAUUCUGUGCCUCUCCUCUAAUGCUCCUUACCUAGGCUGAGGUUAAGUCAGGGGGAUUUUAGAGUGAGGCAUUUGAAUGUUAGAAAAGCAAUCCCCACUCAAAGUCAGGGAAGAGCCUCCACACCAGAUUGCUCAGAGUUGAUAAAUGACCUCUGUAGGCUGAAGGCACGAGGAACUGGUACUUGGCUCAUGACUUAUAAGGCUUUACCUAUGAGAAUCAGAAAACUCACAAAGCGUUCUUGAAUUUUUACUAAGAGGCAGUAAAAUCAUUACUUCCACAGAACAGGUUUAGAGGGAUAGUGGAAAAUGAAAAUAAAGAAUAAAGAUACUUUUAUAACUACCCCGCAUGCAGUCUCUAUGUUUAACACAUGGAUCCACUAACAUAUAUCACAGACAUUGUCUGCCUUUUAAACAAAGUAUGGUGAGUUAUUAAGAAAAGGUUAUUUUCAAUGUUAUCGUGACUAAUGCAAUAAUGAAAAAAACCUUGGAUUUGAAUCCUGUAUUUUCAAAGUAACUCAAUACAAUGAUGUCCCCAAGGCUUAUGGAGAUCUAUGGGGUUAUUUACCCUGGACUCAUAAUUCUUACAUGUGCGUUUCCAAUUUCCUUGACAUGUCAUUUGGUUUCUAUGUUUUCCAUUGUCACUUUCAACAGUUUCUUUAUGCUUCUCUAUAUUAUCUCCUCUCUCUUCUUUUAACUGAUGGUUGGGAGAUAAACUUGUUGGAAUUGUGAGUAAAAUAAGAAUAAAAAGUACCAUGAUCUUUAUUUAUUAACUGCUUGCUAACCAAUAUUCUACAUACAGAAAGGUGCUGGAUAACUGACUUAUAGAUGAGGGGAUUCUGAUUUGAUGGAUAUAUUAGGUAAAAAUAAAAAAACAGAGGUAUGUACACACUAGGUAUCAUUGAUAGAAAGUAUUUGAUGAGCAAUUUUGGCUUCAUUUUUAAUAGGAUUUUUCUUUAUGUACUUUUAAAUUAGUUAAUUAAAUUAGCUAGUACCUCGUGACUACCUAGUAUGUGCCAGAUGCUAAGCUGGUAUCCAUUAAUGCUGCAUUGGAUUAAAUUAUUUAGUCAACUGCUUCUAUUUGAGUUCCUGAGCUCAAUCCUAAAUGUGCUCUGUAACUCGGACCAAGAAAUGGAUUUUUCCAUGUCUUUUGAGAAUGGCAAAUCUCUUAUGCCACUUAAGAAGAUGAAGAGACAACACAUUUAACACCAGAUGGGGAAUGAAAUCUAACCCAACAAAUGGCAGAGGAUUUGCUGUGAGGCCUGACAGCAAUAAAACUCACACUUUACUUUUAUAUGAUGCUUUAAUUUUCCAGAUUUCUUUAAUAGCAGUCCUUGCAUUUUACUUUCACAACAGCUUUCUGAAAGAUAAGAAAACUCUGAAUUAUCUUGCAAGUGAGCCUAGAUGGUCUAAUUGCCCAGAGCCAGUUACCAAGCCAGGGCUAAAGUUCCAUCUUUAUUCUAUGAAAUCCAGUGUUUUCUCUCUUAAAUCAGGGCUCCAGCCUGCACUUUCGGGGCUUAAUUUCUGCUGGCUUAGUAUUUAUCCAGCUGAUUUUGAUGUCAUGCAGAUCACAUAUUUAGAGCUAUAACUGGACAUCCUUAUAGCCGAGUGGUUUGUCCAGAGCUCGAAAUGUACCAUCAGUGCCUGUGUUUGGGAACCUAUAUAUUUCUGACCUCUGCCCUACUUAAUAAAAGAGUUGAGUUACCAGAAACAGAGCUGAAGGCCAAGAGCGGUUUUUGUGCAUUGAGCCCUUGGCAUUGGUUCCUGGCAGCAAGCCUCUUUCAUGCAGCAGGAAGCUGAAGGAAAGUCCUCCUGCCCAGGGCUAGAUGCUUUGGAAGAAGUCACUCCUCACCACCAGGUCAGUGCAGAGGCUUCUGCUCCUCAGCAGGAAGGGAACAAGGAAGGACUGAGGGUGGUGAAGGUCCAGGGUGUCCUAAUUGUGAUUGACUUCGAAGUCCUGCUUCCACUGCGGAGCGAAGCUACAAGAGGAAAGAGAAAUUGCCUACCCUGCUGACACUCCCCAUUUCCAGAAGCUCAGCUUCUACCUAUGGAGAUGUCAGGCUCCCUUUUCUGAUCAGCACGGGGGAAGUCAGUGAUGAGCAAUCCAUUGAGGCUGAAACACACAAUCAGGGUUUGCAGCCAACUCCAGCAUUUUUCCCUCAUUGCACAUAUUGUGUUGGGACAAUGGUCUGAUCAAAUGUUUUCUAAUUUCAUUGUGGACUUCCUCUCUGUAAUGAGUCCCUCUCUCCAGCUCUAAAUAAAGAAGAUGCUAAAAACGUGACACACACUACAGCUGGGUCACCCACAUCUGGGCUUUUUAUCUUAAAGAUGGGGUGGGGGCGGGGAGGAUGGUUAAGCAAGACGUGGCUGGCUUUUCUUAUCAAAGAGGUGAGUGGGGAAAUGGGGGUAGACAGAUCAGGGAAUGAGGCUGCAUCAUCCAGCAUUGUUACUGAAUGACAGACAUAUCCUCUGGGACUAAUUAUAAUAACGAUCCCAGUCCAUAACUUACUCAGAGCUUGAGGGUCCUUCUGUAUGCCACAUUCUCAAAUGUGGGCACCUGGAUUGCACCUAUGAAGUUGGCAUUUACCAAAGAAACCCACGUGCAGAUGGAUAUUUGCAUGUGAAAACCAGAUAAUUGUGUGUGUGUGAGCAAGAGAGUUUCUGCACACAAUUACCAGCCUCUCCUCAAGAUGUUGGAAGCAGUUUCUGGUCCUUUGGGAAACUGGGCUACAAUUUGCUGGUGCAGAUUGGAGUUUGGGGCUUAUGUGAAACAUGUUCCCAGGUUUUAGAGAAGUAACUGUGAUGAGUUGUGAUGGAUGUAUUGACAUCUACGAUGCGCUCAGCAGGGCAACAUGGUAUGUAAGAGCGCAGACUGUGCCAUCAGAUGGACCUGGAUUCUGAUUCCAGCUCCACUACAGCUCUCACUAAGGCAACAUGCAGGAGAAAGUGUAGUUUCUUUGAGAAGCUAGAAAUAACUGCAUAUGUUUGAGCAUUGGGUCUGUGUGGCAUUGUAGCAGAAUCAUGUAGGUCUCUGUAUUAGUCAGGGUUCUCUAUAGGGGGACAGAGCCAAUAGGAUAGAUGUAUGUAUGAGGGGGAGUUUCUUAUUUUAUUGUUAUUAUUAUUUGCGACAGAGUCUUGCUAUGUUGCCAGGUGCCAGGCUGGAGUGCAGUGGUGUAAUCUUGGCUCACUGCAACCUCCGCCUCCCAGGUUCAAACAAUUCUCCUGCCUCAGCCUCCUGAGUAACUGGGACUACUGGUGUGCACAACCACACCCACCUAAUUUUUGUAUUUUUUUAGUAGAGAUGGGGUUUCACCAUGGUCUCGAUCUCUUGAUCUCGUGAUCCAGCUGCCUCGGCCUCCCGAAGUGCUGGGAUUACAGGCAUGAGCCACCGUGCCUGGUCAAGGGGGAGUUUAUUAAGGAGCAUUUACUCACAAGAUCACAAGGUGAAGUCCCGCUGUAGGCUGUCUGCAAGCUGAAGAUCAAGGAAGCCAGUCAGAGUCUCAAAACCUCAAAAGUAAGGAAGCCAACAGCACUGCCUUCAGUCUGUGGCCAAAGUCCUGAGAGCCCCUGGCCAACCACUGGUAUAGGUCCAAGAGUCCAAAAGCUGAAGAACUUGGAGUGUGAUGUUCGAAGGCAGGAAGCAUCCAGCACAGGAGAAAGAUGAAGGCCAGAAGACUCAGGAAGUCAGCUCUUCCAACUCCUACCUGCUUUGUUCUAUCCAAGCCGGCAGCUGAUUAAAUGACAACCACCCAGUCUGAGGGUGGGUCUGCCUCCCCCGUUUCACUGACUCAAAUGUUAAUCUCCUUUGGUGAUACCCUCACAGGCACACCCAGUAACAAUACUUUGCAUCCUUCAAUCCAAUCAAGUUGAUGCUCAAUGUUAAUCAUCACAGUCUCCAAGGGAACAGAGUGAAGUUAAAUCUUUGGCAGAACAGGAUUUGAACCAAGACUGUCCCUUUUAACUGUUCUGCACUUAACAACCAUCUUCCAUGGGUGCUUAGUGAGCACUUGGUGAAUAAUGGGACCUGAAGCACAAAGAUGUUCAUCCUUCUGCAUAAGAGGUUUUUUUUUUUCUUCUGUUUGUGAGCCAUGCUGGGUCCUGUGAAGAAGGAAUCUUCAAGCCCAGUUUUAGAGACCCAUGUAAUUUCCCCAGCCAGUGCUUCCUGUGGUCAGUAUUGAGGAUCACAAAAGACAAGAUGCCAGAAGCAAUUUGUCAGUUUUCUACCCCUGACUCUACUGUGUCUUUGGCUGAAUCCUCUGCCUAGAGUGAACAGCAUCUUUCUCUCUUUCUCUUCUACUCUUGUUCAAGCUUAGAUGAAGGUGUGCCUCUUCUUGGAAAAACACACCCAUGAGAUUGGCACUAAUCUUAUCCCCAUUAGAUGGAUGAGGAAACUGAGUUACAGAGCGAUUAAGUGACCAAUCCAAUGUCGUAGAGUCAUAGAGCCAACAAGUAGUAGAGCCAGCAUUUGAAUACUGGCAGAUUGGUUCCAAAACCAAUUAUUGGCUCCUAACCAUUAUUCUACCACGCGGUUGCUCAAUUAGAAUAGUCAUGUGUGUGUGUGUGUGUGUGUGUGUGUGUGUGUGUGUGUGUGUGUGUUUUAAAGGCUCUAAGGCUCCUUGCAGUCCUAGAGCCUAUUGUGGAGUUAGACCCUCAGUAUAUAUAGUAAGUGAAUUUUCAGUGAAGAAGAAGAUGAGGAGUUGAUUUUGGCCUUGGACAGGUUACCAAGUAUUCUUGGGCUUAAGGCACAUUUUGGUAGUUUUCUAACUUUGCCAGCAGAAUACAGUUAACAACUGGGAGGAGUGGGCCUUGAUGUCAUUUUUAUGCUACCAACUGGCUUUGGGUGCACCAGCUAAAAGCAGUUUCUCACUGGAGGAGCUGCAAGAACCUGGGGGAAAGUGGCACUGUUUGUGCUGUCACGUAAGUCAUGUUGCAGAGCCACAUGUUCUGUUGCCAGUUUUGAAGGAACGCCAUAAUGUGUUUUCUGUUGCAGCUCUGGGGCUUCUCCUAAACUCCUACUCUAAUCCUCAAGGUCUCUUUUUUCCCUUCUGCAACAGGCUCUAGGAAAUCAACACACUUCCCUCUCCUUCAGAAGCUGCCACUGUCCUUUGGGGUUGGUUUCCUUACUACUGUUAGAUACAGUAAACUCCAAGUUUCUCUUCAAAGAGUCAGUAUGUCAGUAUGCUCAGCUCUCUUAUUCUUUAAUUCUCCAUUUUAAAGUUUAACUUCCUUGUGGUUUCAGUAAACAACCUUUUCCACCAGUUCUAAUUAGUGGUUCACAUCUGUUCCCCCGGUCCCCUGCUCCGUCCUGACUCAUCCUGGUCACCUGCUGUGGUCACCUGCUCUGGUCACCUGCUUUGACCUGAGUUACCCUUGGUUACCUGCUCUGACCUGUCCCAUAACUGUCCUUCCUGCUAAACUACCCACACUGCCACUCCAGCUCAUACCCCUGCUCUCUUUAAAAUAUCCAAUUGGAAUUAGCUUAGACUUUGCAGUCUAACCCUAGCCCAUACGGGAAUGACACAGCAGUAGGGACUACCUCCAUCAGGAAUAAGAGCUCCUUCCCCUCCCUUGUCCAGGUGUGCUUUCACCAUUGCUCCAUCAGUGUGACGCACCCUUCUAUAGAUGUAAAUUGCCUUGCUGAGAGAAUUUAUAUUCAAAUGCUACUUCUUUUGUGGCACUAAAAAUUUUGCAUAUAACACUACCCCCCAAAGAUGAACACAAAAGACCUUUUUUGUCUUUAAGGCUUUCACUGCUAAUUGCAAAGGGAAAACAGAGCAUUGCACAAAUGAUAAUGAUGGAGAAGCAGUAGACGGUCCAGCAUCUUACAAAGUCCUUAUUGUCUGGAUCCUUUGUAGUUAAAUUCCUUCUGUAAUUACGAAGGAAAGCCUCAAAGAUCUUGUGCCCUCUUCUGAAGGUGGAACUCACUGAGUCUUCCCAUUGUUUUCUGGUUUCUUUUUUAGUGAGGUCCCAGGAAUCAUUUUCUUCAUGUGACUACUCUUCCCAACCUCAACAUGCAGUCUUUGGGCAUCCAGUAGGUGUUUGACUUCUCUAAAGACUUCCAGAGUGGGUUACUCUGGCUGGUUCAAUGCACUGCUGUCUCUCUGGGUCUUUUCCUGCACUCACUAAGGUCCCCAAAGGCAGGAACUAUUUAUUCUCUGUUCUUCUGUGUCCCCCCUCUUGGUGAUGGGUUUAUGGCCCAAAGCCUGAGCUUAUUGUCUACACAAGCAAUGUAGAAAUAGUUUAUGGUUUGACUUGGGACUUUGUCCCUGAAAGUAAUUCUCUGAUGGUAAAUUUGUACUUUUAUCCUUAUCAUGAAUCAAAGGGCCUUCAGGGGGAUGUAAUUUUUAUUUAAAACCAUUUAGUAGAUGUAAGCAAAUACAAGAAUAGGAGAGUGGGUUGAGCCAGUCUGCUUGGGUGAAUGCUUGGAAAUUGCUUGCUAGGAUAAGCUGUCUUGAGUAAUAAAAUAAAGACUCCCCGGAAUCAAAUAGAUGUGAAGGUAGGUACAAGAAGAGGAUGUACAAGUGUUCUUAGAGACAGAUGUGGAGGUGCAAGAAAAGGACGUGCAAAUGUUCUUACUGUGCUUAUACCAUUUAAUGUACUUCGAUGAUUUGGUGCCAGAAAAGCAAGAGACACAGCUGUGAAGAGGCAACGAAGGAGAAAGUAGGGUCGGAGGACUUGGGGAAGGGACAGCCAGACCUGAGACGCAAGGCUUAGAGACCAGACAUCAUACUUGUGCUGAGAAAGGCAGCAUUUGGUGAGGCAAGGGAGCAGGGAAUGGCUUCACUAAAGUAUGACCAGAGAUUGAAAGCAUGUCAAGAGAAAGCCAAGAGCCAUGUGAAGCAAAUAAGGAAGAUCAUCCCCAAGAUCUGCUCUCCCUUCAGUCUGGGUGGCCUUUUCCUGUUCUCCUGUCUGCGCUUUCUCAGGCAGUUGUGAAUGAUGAGGCCACCCAACAGAAAUGAUAAGCCCUCAAAACCUCCGUAUUGUUACGCUCUUUUUCCAGCUAAGCAAUUUCUUCCUCAUGUGGGGCAGAGGGUUGGAGCAGCGGUUCCCAGCAGACCACCAUGAGCUUCUCAUGGGAGAAGCUGCCCUGAAAAGAUACACGAUUUAGAGCAGAUGAUGAUAAUCAUUAUCAUCAUUCUGGCAAACUUAGAGGAGCAUGCAUAUAAAAUACUAAAAUCUUAUGGUGCUGGCGAUUCAUUUUAUGGGAAUCUGGCAUUGAUUCAGAAGACAGUACAUCUACCCUGAGACUGUUGUAGUUUCAGCAACUCAAAUUCCAUGCCCACUUUAAGACAGUAUGUCAAGACUAUAGUGAGUGGAAUAAUAAUAAAAGUGAUUGUCGUUUGAAUGGGAAUUUCUUACAGCAGUCUGAUUAGCAGAGGGUCUUUAUUCAAGGACGUGCGUUAACAUCAUCUGUUGUACGAAUGAUUGUACUAAUGCCAUCUGUUAGUGCAGGAAUCGCUUUGUAGAUUUGUCAUCGUUACAUUCCAUGUCCGAUGAGCGUGUGUAAAAACAGUUAAGUAUUUCUCCAGUGUCUUUCUCCUUAAAGCGGCCCAUAUUUUAAGCUCAUUCUUCUCUGCUUCACUUGCACGGGCAUCUUCCCCAUGCUCCUGGAGAAAGUCUGAUGCGUGGUCUAACAUCUCCUGCUCCUCUCCUUGGCCUAUCACCUUUUCAGCGUGAAGACCCUAUUCCUUAUUUCAGGCACCUGAUUAGUUGUCAUGUUGCCGUGGACCUCACUACCUGUUUGGACGGAUUAUCCGGCUCUGAUUGACUGUCACACGCUCCUCCCAGAAGACAUCCGUCUAAGACGCCCUGUCCUUCAUCUCAGCACACUUUCUCUUAAUACUCUUCUUACAGAAUCAAAGAGCUGGGAGUUUGCUUGUCUCUAAGCAAGAUGGUCUCUGAUCUUGGACCUUGUGCUUAGAUCCAGGGAAGAUGAUUUUUUAAAAGUUGGUGAUAUGUGUAUAAUGUAAAAGUCAAAUAUAGCUCUUAGUGUUAUUAAAAAGAUUCAGUGCCACUCUGUACUCUCAGUUCCUAAUCUCUCAAGGCAGUUUCCCUUCUUUCAGAUGUUCCUUCUUCUGUAUUUCAUGAUAUGCUUAUGGCUCUAUACUCUGUUUUUCAGUGUUCUAUACUACCUAUUGACUAUCUCCUAUGAAAGAGAAUUAUUUGGCAUCUCACUCUCUACUCGCCACACUUUCUUUCUCUCUCCCAUUCCUCCCUCCCUUCUCUCAUUCUCUUGAUUUAAUUAUGCAUCAGAUAUCUAUUACUGCAUAGCAAAUGAUUCCAGAAGUUAGUGCCAUAAUAUAAAAAUCAUUUCUUAUCUAUUCAGUAGGACGGGAAUUUGGAGGUGAUUUUAUGAGCUUGUUCUGGCUCAAGGUCUCUCAUAAAAUUGUAGUCAUCUGAGGACUUGACUGAAGCAGAAAGCUGUGAUUUCAGGGCACCCACCUGGAUAGCUUCCAGGUGUUGCUUGUUGGCUAAAUGUCUCAGUUCUUCUGUGUUUGGCCCUUACUACAAGCUGUUUAGGCAUCCUCAGACAUGACAAGUGGCUUUCCCAAGAGUUAGUGACCCAAGAAAGUGCAAGGCAAAAGCUCUGAUGUCUCGCGUGGCCUAGCCUCAGAUGUUUCACAUCUUUCUUUCCACUAUCUUCUGUCCCUUAAUUAUUUGGCAUCUCGCUCUAUUCGCCACACUUUCUCUUUCUUUCUCUCUCUCAUUCCUUCCUCCCUUCUCUCAUUCUCUUGAUUUAAUUAUGUAUCCAAUAUCUGUACCAUCAUUUUAUCUUGGGAGUAAAUGACUUGUUUUUGAUCUCACAGGCUCAUAGGUGGAAGGAACUCAUCUCCAACUUUGGACUUUGGACUUGAAAUGCAGAAAUGGGUUAAGACUUUGGGGGAUUAUUGUGGAGGCAUGAUUGCCUUUUGAAAUGUGAGAAGGACAUAGGAUUUGUGGGGCCAGGGAUAGAACGAAAUGGUUUGGAUGUUUGUCCUCUCACAAUUUCAGGUUGAAAGGUGAUUCCCUUUCACAAUUUCAGGUUGAAAGGUAUUGGAGGUUGGAUUAUGGCACUGGAUUCCUCAUGAGUGGCUCAGCACCAACCCCUUGGUGAUGAGUGAGUUCUUGCUCAGUUGGUUCAUAUGAGAGCUGGUUGUUUAACAAGCCCAGCUCCUCCUGCACUCUCUCUUGCUCCUGUUUUUGCCAUGUCAUACACUCGCUCCCCCUUCACCUCUAACCAUAAAUUGUAAACUUCCUGAGGCCUCACUAGAAGCUGAGCAGAUGCUGGCACCAUGUUUGUACAGCCCAUAGAACCGUGAGCCAAUUAAGCCUCAUUUCUUUAUAAAUUACCCAGGUAAUUACCAGGUAUUUCUUUAUAGCAAUGCAAAAACAGACUAAUACAGGGGCCAUUAUGCUGCCUGCCACAGCUAUGUAAAUAGAGCUUACUACGUGAUAUUAUAGUACAUGUUAUAGGGAGUCAUAAUUAUAUUUCCUUUUUAUACAACUUUUCAUUUUCUUUGGACAUAAUAAUUGCCUCUUUUUUCUAUUUGCUCAUGUUUUACAUGUAUCCAUCAUUAAUUCAUCCCUAAACCAUCUGAUAAAGCCAACAAUCUUGUUCCUAAACAUGCCAACUAUUCUUUUAGCUCCACCUCUCUUUGCUUGGCACUAUUCCUUAAGAGCGCUCUGUCUUUUCCAAUCUGGGUUUUGCUUUUUUGGGGGACAGCAAACGCGUUUUCUUGUGGGUUCUCUUCACUGCCGUCCUGAGUUUUCUCUCUUCUGUUUGAGACUCUCCAUUGUUCUUUACUCUCCCAUUUUCCUGAGUCACGUCGAAGUCUUUCUCCCAGUUCCCCUGCUAUCCUGGCCUCCUGUGAGAUCUGCAAUUUGAAUACCUUGGCUUUGCCAGGAUUCUUCAAGGAGAAGGAUCUUGUAUCUGUGGCUUUGUCUGCUGCAGGUUUAAAUUUCGCCUUUCCCUGGUCUGCUAACUCAGCUGCAGUUCACCUCUCUAGCUCUCAGCUUUCGUUGAUAUCAAUUGUGUACUGUCGUCUCCUCUCAAAGUCUCUUUGGCCACGUGGGCUUGAGCCACUUUUUAUUUCUUGUUGAUAUUUUAGUGAGAUGUCUGCAGGGAGAGGAGAAGAAUGGGCGUGUGGACGCCUGUGUGCCGGCAGCUGAUUACUUGGCUUCCACACUUGGUUCAGCUCUUCCACUGAAGGAAUUGGGAUUGUUUAUUUUCCCCACAGAUAUUUUUGAACUGUUCUAAAAUGGAAGCUAUUGCACUAACUGCCACUACAUUAUUUAUCUUGUCAUGUAGUAGGGUAUCUGCCAAGAUGGCCAGACCCCAUUGCUCUACUUUUUUAAUAGAAUAGAUUCUUUUUUGCUUUGCUUUGAAGACUCUAAAUUAUUUUAAUAGAUUUAUGUAUUUUUUCUUUUUCUCUUGAAUUAAGACAGAAAUAAUUUUUCCAAUGACUCUGUUAUCUCGGUUUCGUAUUAAAAAUCCUCAAACUUCACCUAGUGGUGACAGCAGGACAGUCUAAGGUGUAUCAUAGGAAUGUCUCAGUCUCACUUGCCUGCUCAUACAAAUGAAACCAUGGUUCUAAAAACAUUCUUGCUGGCUGCAGACAACUACAUUGUAUCCAGGAUUCUUUUCUCAGUGUCUUUUCUAUGAAUCCCUAGGGAUAUUCACAUGUAUCCGGAAAUCAGUUCUGGUCAUUCAUGACUUCAUGGCUGGCUAAGCCAGGACCACACAGUAGCCCCAUGCUGGAAAUUUCUACAGGGUUCACUCUGUAGUGAGAACAUUGCUGGUACUGCUGGAGGUACUGUUUUUCAUGAAAACAGGCUCCUCCUCUCUGAGGCAGAGGAACCAGGCAUCUGUAGCCUCGGCAUCAGUCACCCUUGCAGGUGACAGACAAGCUCCGGUGUUGGCUGCUUGGGAGUGGAGAUUCUCAGGCCUUUCUGUGUUAUGACCUCUUACCCUGGCAUGGCUGAGCUUUGGCCUUUCAGCUCAUACCCUAAUAGAAGUAUAGGGAUGGGGCUCCCAUCAAGCAGCAACCUCCAGUCACUUGCAGUAGAUCUUUGUUAAUCCAUCCAUGAGAUAUCUCCAUGGUAAGAGGGAGAAUAUUCUCACCCAGCUUUACAUUCCAUCAGCAAAAGUUUCACAGUAAAGCUGCCUGAACCCACUGUAAUCUGGCUCUAUCAACUCACACGCUCUCACCGCAGCAUCCUCCUGAAAACUUCCAUCCUUUCCUGGGAGUUCUCUCUCUCAUUCAUUAGGCAUUCUUCUGUAUCCUAGAAACCUAAGGGGAAUUAGAGUUCAAUCCAUCUUUUCCUCCAUAAGUUCCUUAGUUCUUAUGUGGAUUUAAGUACAAAUAGAGGCAGGAGAGAAUCCGCCCCCCCACCCCUCUGUCCCGACUCCUCUGGCCAGCCAUGUCUGCCGCAAAGUGCAACGGAAUAGCUGGAGGGUAAUUUUGCUUAAGGCAGUGAUCUCCAAAGUGAGUUUCACAAGAUGGUAUGGGAAGGAAAAAGUAUAUCAUUUCUAUGUAUUUUUUAAAUUGCAUUCUUUAAAAGCAUUUGCAUGCAUGUUUUACUUGUGUGCAUAAACGUACGAUCUAUGGUCAGACACGUUUUCCUAGUGGAACACAGUCUUAUAACAGCAGGUAAUCCGGCAGUGUCCGCAGGAUGGACCCGUGGGACCGCAGACACCCGUAGUGUUUGUGUAUUUGAUAAUGUCGCUUGAAGGCUCACUGUUGUCAUGUUUUUGUGUGGAUAUCGUGACUGUUUACCCGUUUUUACUUAUCAUUAGGGUGACAAAGCUUUUUACUUUCCACUUGCAGGAAAUUCACACAAUAUUUGCCUACCAAGGCUUUUAGGUUCAUAAAGCAGCAUUAAAAUUUAAAACAAAUAGCCUUGAACUUCUGGUAUUACUACUGUUAUUACCUAAAUUUUGUCACCUGUGGUGAGAUUAAUUUUCAAUCUUUUUUCAACUUGUGAACCUCCCUUUAGGUUUCUUUACAGUUGCUUAUGUGGCUAAUUGCUUUCAGCUACAGAAAGCCUAGAUGUGUAUGGAUUUCUCUUUGAAUUAGGCCUUCAAAAAUUUGAAACCAAAAAUGGACAAAUGAAUCUAUUUACCACACCAAACUAAGCUGCAUUUAUUCCCAUGAAGGUCUAUUUAGGCAUUGCUGGUAGACGUUGCUGACUUCCCAGACUUUGGGCCUGGCUUACCCAGAUGGACUCAUGUGAGGCCACGUUGAAGAAGGGUAGCAAAUAACUCAACAGCAUAAACACUGAGCUGCAAUAUUCGUGUGGCAAGAGGGCACGUGUGGCUCCACACGGGCAGGGUCUGACUUGCUAGUUGCGUAGUAGUAAGGUCGGUGACUCAGGUGCCAGAGAGGACUGCAUUUGGGAUUUAUGCUAUCUAGAAGUCAUGUGUUUCAUUCCUUACUCCAUAUCCACAGCCACCACCAGCCUCCAAGAGGACCCCUGGUGAUCCCCACCUCCUAGUGUUCACACCUGUGUGGACUCCUCCCAUGUUGGACCAGGGGGUGACCAAUAAAAUAUGGCAAAAAUGAUUGCAAGCUACUCCCAAGAUGAGGUUAUAAAAGACACUGUGGCUUUUGUCUUGGUCCCUUUCCUUCUCUCUCUCUCGGAUCAUUUGAUUCUGGGGAACUGAGACGCAUGUCAUGAGCAGCCCGUGGUAGACCCUAUGCUGAGUACUGGGUGUACAGUGAGUGCACCAUAAUUGUGCCUGUGAAUAGCCACUGCUCUCUAGCCUGCAACAUAGCGAGACUCUGUCUCUAAAAAAAAAUUUUUUUUUAAAGUUUAAACAUUUUACAAGUAGAGCAAAAGGAGACAUUGACAAAAGAAAUAAUGUGGCAAACUUGGUAAGCAGAAGAAUCUGAAAUUCAACUAGAAGAAGGGAUAGAAUUCGUAUUUAUUUUCUGAGGCCAUACUUAGCUCCAACGAGAAUUGCUAAGAGUAGAAAGAUACCUGCUGAAGGGGUGAUAUUCUCUAGCGGAGAUAGCUGCUGGAGGGGUGAGAUUCUCUAGCGGAGAUAGCUGCUGGAGGAGUGAGUUGUUUUACUAUCAAAUCCUUUAAUCAUCUCUUCAUCCAAUAAUUUGUAUUGAGUGUCUCUUAUGUGUUAAUUACUGGGAAAGUCAGACGUAGUCCUAACCUUCAUAAAGCUUAUAAUGUACAGAGAGAGACAGAUACUAAUUAUACAAAGAUAAUUAAACUGCUAUUAUAAAUUAUACUUAAAUAAAAAGUUUCCUUAAAUACUGGAUAUGCAGAGAUAAGAUACAUUCCUGUUUUAAAAAAUUACUCAGUUUUCAGAGGAGACAGUAAUGUUUUCAAGCAAUGCAGUGCAUCGUGGUAGGCGUGAUAGCAGAAGAGUGGACAAGCCUUCCCUGGAGCUUCAAGGAAGCUGUGUUUGUCUCAGUUCGGUUCAUUGAAGAACUGCCUUUUAAACUGGAGAGGGGGAAAAAUAGAUGCCUUGAGGCAAAUAGGGAAGUGAAGGGAAGAAAGAAGUCUUUGCAGGCAGACAACCACAUAUGUAAGGGCAGGAAAUUGAGUUCUAAAUGAAUUUAAUGGGAAAAAAGGAACUUAGAACUUUCUUUCAUGGACCCCACUGGAAAUAUAAAAGAUGUGUAAGAGAAAAUAUCUGUCCUCUAACAUCUUACACCUUCCCAAGAUUUGAAGCAACAAGAGAUCUCUUCAAACUCUGAGGAUGCUUGAACCUGAUGCUGUCCAAUAUGGUAGCCACUAGACACACGUGGCUGUUUGGUUCUUGAAAUGUGGCUGGUUUGAAUCAAGUGUGCUGUUAAGUGUAAAAUACCAAAAUUUGGAGAUAUCACAAAAAGACAAAUUAUUUCAUUAAUAAUUUUUAUAUUGAUUACAUGUUGAAAUGUUUUUGGUAUAUUGAGUUACAUAGAACACAUUAUUAAAAUCAAUUUUACCUGUUUGCUUUCACUCCUCUCAAAGGGGCUGAUACUAAGUUUAAAACGCUAUCUGUGAUCUGCCUUGUGGCUGGCCUUGCCUCCCUUGCAGACAGUGCUGUUUAUAGGCCGCUGUGGCAAUGGCCCAGGAGAGCCUGUGGCACGAGCCUUGUGGAUGGGAAAGAAGGAAGGGGGCUCAGACAUGUUGAGAGGGCCACAGCCCAUGUGCUUUCCUGGACCCUCACUCUGUGCUGAGGGAUUCUAGUGUAGGGUUUGCGGGAAGCUGAGCUUCCCCCACUGGAAGCUUUUUAGUUCAGAAUUCUUUCCAUUUGCUUCCCUUUUGCUUCUAAUAUUGUAGCAUGGGUAGAAGAAAAAAGAAAGGCUCUGCUUUGAGAAAGGAAAGGCUACUUGGUAAUAGAGGGGAAGCCUAUCUAACUUCUUUAGAAGAGUUGAGCCUGGUUCUGGACACAUUCCAUUUGCUUGCUGGAAGGUCUGGGAGUCUAACAAAUUCCUAUCAGGCUAUAUGAUUUGGGUCUUCAUUGGGUAUACGUUAGGGCAACCCGUUUCUUUUUUCUUGACUUGUAAGAGACUGGAACUAAGUUUUAUUGAGCUGAAAAAAGAAAUAGAAAUGUCCUGGGCCUGAAGACUAUGUAUUGAUCCACAAUUGGAGGGACUGACAACACCAGCUCCUGGAGGUCGUCUGAGUUGUUGACCAGCCUCUGAAAUGGGGUGCCGAGCCUAUCUUAGUCUCUCGUACAAAUUGCUCUGCAACCUUGCCAAAGAUAACAGCGUCUCUCUGUCUUUAUAUCUUAUUGGUUAACCAAUUUCCAGAUCUGAAUAGCCAGGGUGCUCUGUAGAUAUACUUUAAAACAUUUUAAAAGUAUACCAUCAAUAAAAACAUCAUGCUUUUUAAGGUAGAAAGCACUUUGGAGGAGAAUAAUUGAUUGUGUUCCAGGACCUCUGGGUGGAACUGAAAUAUUAAUAGAAGAGGACAUUGCCCAAUUCUGGGAAUGUUGAAGCAGGUGGAAAUGAGCUCCAGGCACAGGAUCUUUCAUGCCCCCUUCAGGUUACUCUAGACAGUUAAAGCAGAUGUGGUCUGAACUAUCUCCACACAGCAGACCUGGCCAGGCUGGCUAGCCCUCCUAAACAAAGACAUUGUGUGGAGUUUUAGGGAUGAACUCUCUUUUAGUUUGUUAGGUGGCCAUAACAAAAUACCGUAAAUCGGGUGGCUUAAACAGCAGGAAUGUAUUCUUGCAUAGUUCUGGAGGCUGGAAGUAUGAGAUCAAAGUGUUCGUAGGGUUGGUUCCUUGGAGAGUUUUGAACGUGAAUCUGUUUCAUGCUUCUCUCCCUGGCUUCUGGUGGUUUGCUGGCCAUCUUUGGCAUUCCUUGGCUUGCAGACUCAUCAUCUAGAUCUCUGCCUUCAUGUUCACAUGAUAUUCUCUCUGUGUGCAUGUGUGUGUGUACAUUUCUCCUUCUAAGGGCUCCAGUUAUAUUAAAUAAGAGCCCACUCUAAAUCACUGUAACUUGAUUACUUUUUGUUUUAUGGUGGGCAGGUCUAUGCGAACCAACCCCAAAGUCCAAGGAAGCUCAGAGGCUAAAGAAAGAGGCUGACAAAUCUAGUUUCUUAGAAAGAACUGGGACUUAUGAACAGAAGACACGUCCGUGUCUCGGGGGAUGGUGAAACAAGAUGCUGGACCCCUGUGCCAUUAUCCCCAGACCCACGGCUUAUAUACCAUUAAAAAAAGGGAUGGUUCAGAAGGGACGUGUAGGACAACUGAGGUCUGAUAACAUCAAGGUUGUUUUACCUAAGGGCGAGAUUUACAGUUAAGUACCUAAUUUUACAAAAGGAAAUGUAAUCCCAGCACUUUGGGAGGCCGAGGCGGGUGGAUCAUGAGGUCAAGAGAUCAAGACCAUCCUGGUCAACAUGGUGAAACCCCGUCUCUACUACAAAUACAAAAAAUUAGCUGGGCAUGGUGGCGAGUGCCUGUAAUCCCAGCUACUCGGGAGGCUGAGGCAGGAGAAUUGCCUGAACCCAGGUGGCGGAGGUUGCAGUGAGCCGAGAUCGUGCCAUUGCACUCCAGCCUGGGUAACAAGAGUGAAACUCCGUCUCAAAAAAAAAAGGGAACAAUAGAUAAACUAGAAAUCUUAGAGACCUUCCUGGAACUGUGGUUAAUCAGAAUCCAACAUGGUUGAUUAGCAUCCAAGAUGGAGUCACUUUAACCUCCACACUUCUGUAAAGAACUUGUCUCCAGAUAAUCUUACAUUUGGAGGAGUUGGGGAUUAGGACUUUAACAUAUAAACACAUAAACUUGAGAGAGAAACAAUUUGACCCAUAACAAACUCAAUUCAAGGAAAGUAUUGAUACCUUUUGCCUUAUAUUACUUUUAUAUGUACAUAGUGUGCUCAUUGAGUAACCUCCCGCUGUUGAUGGAUCCAUGUGAACUGAUGUUACUUUUCUAUAACUGCUACAUUUGUUUUCUUUUAAACAUCUUUUACUCUGUAGGUCCUCAUACCUUGAGCACAUCCUACACCGAUUCUAUGACUUAUCACUUAUUAAACCUGCCUCAUUUGGUUAUUAUGAUUCUCAGCUGGGGGAAUAACAAAGAAGGGGCUUUGUUUCUGCUGGUAUAGCUGGUAUCAUGGAUACUGUACAGGGCCUCCCAAAUGAAACAACUAAAAUACUAUCUUUUUAACAGUAUAAACAUCUUUUUAAAUGCACCAUUGAGCUGGAAUGAAAGUAAGACACUGUCAGAGAUUUUCUUUUCCAUCACGCUUUUUAUUUUGGAAUAACUUUAGAUCUACAGAAAAGUUGCAAAUUUCCAUCAACUUUUCAGGCAAAGUGAGGAUGAUGGGGAGGAGAAAAGUAAUGUUGCCAUUUGGGGAACUCAGUGGCCUCUGAGCUCUUUGCUGAAGAGCAAAGAAUCCAGGGUUUAAUUACAACUGGGAGGAUCAGCAAAGAAUUUUUAUAAGGGUGGAAUUCAAGUAGGGUUUUGAAGAACCCCAAUAGGGCUAGAACUCCAAUAGGUAGGAAAAGGCCUUGCAGAAUAAGGGACCCAUAUAAUCAAUGCCCAGAAAGUAGGGAAGAGGAUGGUGCAUUCACCCUGUUUAUAUCGUGUCUGGACAGGAGCUGGCAGCAGGUAAAUGUUUGUAAGUGUGCAGGGUCUGGUUGCUGGUAGAGUGUGUGAUAGCAGCAACCUCUUCUUUCAUGCCAGGCUUCUGCUUUGUGCUUUGUAUACUUUCAGAAACUUAGUCUUCAAACCAGUCUUUUGAGGCUAGGUACUACUAGAAUCCCCAUUUUAGGGAUGAUACAACUGAGGCUUAAAGACAAUCUAUAGUGAUAGAGCUGGGAUUAGAUGCAGGCCUGUCUGUAAUUUAUGCCAGGAGUAGGGGAUUCAACAGGGCUGAGGAAAAUGAAAAAGCCAAAAGUGCGAGCUGAGAAUUUUGGAAAGGGAGUCAGCAGAUCUGAAGAAAUGCUGGGUCUGUGUUUGUGACAAGGGAAGUCAUGAGUCUGUUGACUUUGGGGGUUUAGUGCCUUUUUGGAAUGAAAAGUUCAUAAUGAAAGUUCUGCUUGACAGAUGAUAAUGGCUCUAGAGGGAAUCAUGAGGAAAGACAAGUGCGUACUCUGCAUUUAUCCUAAAUGCAGUUUCUGGAGAAAGAAGAAUGGCAUGAGGUUUGUCAUCUUGUCUCUUGGGGAGAUAUCCCGUGGUGUGUGCAGUAAUGGGCUGAUAAGCUAGCUCUCCGACAAACCACAAACACCCAUGCACACAUGCACACCUUGACAAACCACAUACACACAUGCACACCUUGACAAACCACAUACACACAUGCACACAUGCACACCUUGGCAAACCACAUACACACAUGCACACCUUGACAAACCACAUACACACAUGCACACAUGCACACCUUGGCAAACCACAUACAUGCACACCUUGACAAACCACAUACACACAUGCACACCUUGACAAACCACAUACACACAUGCACACAUG